AAUGAACGCUGGCGGCAUGCCUUACACAUGCAAGUCGAACGGCAGCAUGACCUAGCUUGCUAGGUUGAUGGCGAGUGGCGAACGGGUGAGUAAUGCAUCGGAACGUGCCUUUUAGUGGGGGAUAACGUAGCGAAAGUUACGCUAAUACCGCAUAUUCUCUGAGGAGGAAAGCAGGGGACCUUCGGGCCUUGCGCUAGAAGAGCGGCCGAUGUCGGAUUAGCUAGUUGGUGAGGUAAAGGCUCACCAAGGCAACGAUCCGUAGCGGGUCUGAGAGGAUGAUCCGCCACACUGGGACUGAGACACGGCCCAGACUCCUACGGGAGGCAGCAGUGGGGAAUUUUGGUCAAUGGGCGCAAGCCUGAUCCAGCCAUGCCGCGUGAGUGAAGAAGGCCUUUGGGUUGUAAAGCUCUUUCGGCUGGGAAGAAAUCGCACCCUCUAAUACAGGGUGUGGAUGACGGUACCAGCAUAAGAAGCACCGGCUAACUACGUG
rnacentral:rRNA from 1 species